rnacentral:rRNA from 1 species
GACGAACGCUGGCGGCGUGCUUAACACAUGCAAGUCGAACGGAAAGGCCCUGCUUGCAGGGUACUCGAGUGGCGAACGGGUGAGUAACACGUGGGUGAUCUGCCCUGCACUUCGGGAUAAGCCUGGGAAACUGGGUCUAAUACCGGAUAGGAGCCAUUUUUAGUGUGAUGGUUGGAAAGUUUUUUCGGUGUAGGAUGAGCUCGCGGCCUAUCAGCUUGUUGGUGGGGUAAUGGCCUACCAAGGCGGCGACGGGUAGCCGGCCUGAGAGGGUGGACGGCCACAUUGGGACCGAGGUACGGCCCAGGCUCCUACGGGAGGCAGCAGGGGGGAAUAUUGCACAAUGGGCGCAAGCCUGAUGCAGCGACGCCGCGGGGGGGAUGACGGCCUUCGGGUUGUAAACUCCUUUCGCUAGGGACGAAGCUUUUUGUGACGGUACCUAGAUAAGAAGCACCGGCUAACUACGUG